rnacentral:snRNA from 1 species
CACUGUCCCUGUCUACUAU